GCUUUGCUCUUACUUAACUGCAAGAGAGGGCUUAGGCUUAGGCUCACACUUUCUUUGCCAGCUCUAUCUUCCGCCAUCUCGUUUCGAGUGUCAGUCUCCUGAGUCUCCCGCGUCUCUAUUGUCUGCUGCUAAGCCUUCUAGAAUCCUUUGGAGGUGCUUGCCCAGCUCUUGGGAUAACAGAAAAGGACAAUAAGACAAAGCACAGCAUGUUAUCCUUUAAAUUGAAGGGCAAUUGACGAGAGAAAAGGCCCUCACAGAGUGGCAAAAGUGUGGAAGCUGCUGAUUACAUAACUGUUAUGUAAGAGGGUGGGAGAGAGCACUCUCACACUCGGAAGCUGACGCAGAGAGCAGCAAUGUGUAAAUGUCAAAGGGCAGUGACGUAGACGGCCAAAACCGAAAGGGAUAUUAACGUGAAGCCAACUUUUUUGCCAUGGAGAUGGAGCCCACUGUUCAGAAAUCACUGCCAUGGUCCCUUCCUUCAUCUUCAUCUCCUUCAUCGCCGAAUAUCUCGCUCUGACGAGAGCAGGAAGAGCAGAGCCCUAACCUUACACUGACCUUGAAGCGGAGCAAGAGAAGCAGCUGCUGUGGUCUGCAGUGGAGCACCAGAUAGAGGGCGCGCUGAGAGAGGGGCGGAGGAGGAGUGGAAAUAGCGAAACGAGAUUCCGACUGAAGCACAGGCCAUAAAAUAGUCAUCGACAAACCCGGCGACGGGGGUAGGGGUAGGAGAGCUUUGUGUGUGUCGGCAAACAUACACAUUCACAUACACAGUAGAACUUCGAGAACGACAAGAGCGAGAAGUAUGCGGCAGGCGGCGAAGAAAGCCACAGUGCCGGCCAUUCGAAUAAGUGCAGUCUGAUUUCAAUUUGUGAAUGGAAGCACCAUAAAUUUAAAAUUGAUUUCCAAUCAAUAAAGUUAACCUAAUCAAUCAA